AAUUGAGAAUACAUUUAGUUUCGGCCUAAAUUAAGUAAUAUUAUUUACCUCAAUUA
rnacentral:tRNA from 1 species